AGAACGCUUACCACUUUGUGGUUCAUGACUGGGGUGAAGUCGUAACAAGGUAGCGCUAGGGGAACCUGGCGCUGGAUCACCUCCUUAAACGAUGAU
rnacentral:rRNA from 1 species